rnacentral:ncRNA from 1 species
AUUUAUGGUUCAAAUGUGAUUAAAAGGAAAGAUGAGUGCAAUUCUCACACGGUCCCGCCACUGUAAAGAUGACGAAAUUAGACGAUGCCACUGUAUUUGUAUAUGGGAAGGCCUAAAAGUAGGAUGAUUCUAAGUCAGGAUAUCUGCCACAAAUAUU